AUGCAGUCGAGCGGACAGAUGGGAGCUUGCUCCCUGAUGUCAGCGGCGGACGGGUGAGUAACACGUGGGUAACCUGCCUGUAAGACUGGGAUAACUCCGGGAAACCGGGGCUAAUACCGGAUGCUUGAUUGAACCGCAUGGUUCAAUUAUAAAAGGUGGCUUUUAGCUACCACUUACAGAUGGACCCGCGGCGCAUUAGCUAGUUGGUGAGGUAACGGCUCACCAAGGCAACGAUGCGUAGCCGACCUGAGAGGGUGAUCGGCCACACUGGGACUGAGACACGGCCCAGACUCCUACGGGAGGCAGCAGUAGGGAAUCUUCCGCAAUGGACGAAAGUCUGACGGAGCAACGCCGCGUGAGUGAUGAAGGUUUUCGGAUCGUAAAACUCUGUUGUUAGGGAAGAACAAGUACCGUUCGAAUAGGGCGGUACCUUGACGGUACCUAACCAGAAAGCCACGGCUAACUACGUGCCAGCAGCCGCGGUAAUACGUAGGUGGCAAGCGUUGUCCGGAAUUAUUGGGCGUAAAGCGCGCGCAGGCGGUUUCUUAAGUCUGAUGUGAAAGCCCCCGGCUCAACCGGGGAGGGUCAUUGGAAACUGGGGAACUUGAGUGCAGAAGAGGAGAGUGGAAUUCCACGUGUAGCGGUGAAAUGCGUAGAGAUGUGGAGGAACACCAGUGGCGAAAGCGACUCUCUGGUCUGUAACUGACGCUGAGGCGCGAAAGCGUGGGGAGCGAACAGGAUUAGAUACCCUGGUAGUCCACGCC
rnacentral:rRNA from 1 species